rnacentral:siRNA from 1 species
UAAAGAUGUAUCUGGACAGUGGU